AGGAAAAGAAACUAACAAGGAUUCCCCUAGUAGCGGCGAGCGAAGCGGGAAGAGCUCAAAUUUGUAAUCUGGCACCUUCGGUGUCCGAGUUGUAAUCUCGAGAAGUGUUUUCCGCGCUAGACCGCAUGUAAGUCUGUUGGAAUACAGCGUCAUAGGUGGUGACAACCCCGUACGUAAUGCGGAUGCCUAGUGCUUUGUGAUACACUUUCGAAGAGUCGAGUUGUUUGGGAAUGCAGCUCAAAUUGGGUGGUAAAUUCCAUCUAAAGCUAAAUAUUGGCGAGAGACCGAUAGCGAACAAGUACCGUGAGGGAAAGAUGAAAAGCACUUUGGAAAGAGAGUUAAAAGUACGUGAAAUUGUUGAAAGGGAAACGCUUGAAGUCAGACUUGCGUAUUGGAGUUCAGCCGCAAGGUGUAUUCUUCAGUUUGCAGGCCAGCAUCAGUUUUCGGGGGUACAAAAGGGUAAGGGGAAGGUGGCAGCUUCGGCUGUGUUAUAGCCUCUUACUGGAUGUAUCCUUGGGGACUGAGGACUGCAGCGCACUUUUUGCAAGUCCCUCGGGACUUUCUGCGCUUAGGAUGCUGGUGGAAUGGCUUUAAACGACCCGUCU
rnacentral:rRNA from 1 species